rnacentral:rRNA from 1 species
UACGUAGGGUCCGAGCGUUGUCCGGAAUUAUUGGGCGUAAAGAGCUCGUAGGUGGUCUGUUACGUCUGCUGUGAAAUCCUAGGGCUUAACCCUGGGCCUGCAGUGGAUACGGGCAGACUAGAGGUAGGUAGGGGAGAAUGGAAUUCCCGGUGUAGCGGUGAAAUGCGCAGAUAUCGAGAGGAACACCGGUGGCGAAGGCGGGUCUCUGGGCCGAUACUGACGCUGAGGAGCGAAAGCGUGGGGAGCGAACAGG